rnacentral:tRNA from 1 species
UAGGAUAAUAGUUAAUUAUUAACAUUUAAUUUGCAUUUAAAAGAAAUUGUAUAUCAAUUUAUCUUAUAA